CUUCCUUUUCUGGAUGGGAGAAAGGUGGGUGUUCCUAUUCUCCAUGAGAUAUAGCGGCCAGGGGAAGGGUACUGACCCCCUCAGUACUGUGACUCUGGUGUUAGCUGCUCCAACUGCUGCUCCUGUCUUCAAGCCAUGAGUUAGAG
ensembl:snoRNA